UGGGGAAUUUUGCGCAAUGGGGGAAACCCUGACGCAGCAACGCCGCGUGGAGGAUGAAGUCUCUUGGGACGUAAACUCCUUUCGAUCGGGACGAUAAUGACGGUACCGAUAGAAGAAGCCCCGGCUAACUUCGUGCCAGCAGCCGCGGUAAUACGAGGGGGGCAAGCGUUGUUCGGAAUUAUUGGGCGUAAAGGGUGCGUAGGCGGUCUGGUAAGUCUUGUGUGAAAUCUUCAGGCUCAACCUGAAGUCUGCAUGAGAAACUGCCGGGCUUGAGUAUGGGAGAGGUGAGUGGAAUUUCCGGUGUAGCGGUGAAAUGCGUAGAUAUCGGAAGGAACACCUGUGGCGAAAGCGGCUCACUGGACCAUAACUGACGCUGAGGCACGAAAGCUAGGGGAGCAAACAGG
rnacentral:rRNA from 1 species